rnacentral:snoRNA from 1 species
AUUUGCAAUGAUGAACACUUAAUUCAUUCACUGACAGCAUAUAAACGUUAAGCGCUGACAAACUUCUUCAAUAUUCUUUUGAUGUAAGGGAGUCUUGCUUAACCGGUUAUGUCCCAUGGUUAAUAAUUUGGCACUGAGCU